GGUACCUGAAGAAUAAGCACCGGCUAACUACGUGCCAGCAGCCGCGGUAAUACGUAGGGUGCAAGCGUUAAUCGGAAUUACUGGGCGUAAAGCGUGCGCAGGCGGUUCUGUAAGAUAGAUGUGAAAUCCCCGGGCUCAACCUGGGAAUUGCAUAUAUGACUGCAGGACUUGAGUUUGUCAGAGGAGGGUGGAAUUCCACGUGUAGCAGUGAAAUGCGUAGAUAUGUGGAAGAACACCGGUGGCGAAGGCAGCCCUCUGGGACAUGACUGACGCUCAUGCACGAAAGCGUGGGGAGCAAACAGGAUUAGAUACCCUGGUAGUCCACGCCCUAAACGAUGUCUACUAGUUGUUGGGGACGAUAGUCCUUGGUAACGCAGCUAACGCGUGAAGUAGACCGCCUGGGGA
rnacentral:rRNA from 1 species